UACGGGGGAGCAAGCGUUGUUCGGAUUUACUGGGCGUAAAGGGCGCGUAGGCGGCCAGCACAAGUCAGUUGUGAAAUCUCCGGGCUUAACUCGGAAAGUCAACUGAUACUGUGCGGCUAGAGUGCAGAAGGGGCAACUGGAAUUCUCGGUGUAGCGGUGAAAUGCGUAGAUAUCGAGAGGAACACCUGCGGCGAAGGCGGGUUGCUGGGCUGACACUGACGCUGAGGCGCGAAAGCGUGGGGAGCAAACAGG
rnacentral:rRNA from 1 species